AUAGCGUAUAUUUAAGUUGUUGCAGUUAAAAAGCUCGUAGUUGGAUUUCGGUUGAGAGCGGCCGGUCCGCCGUUUGGUGUGCACUGGCUGGUUUCAGCUUCCUGCAGAGGACGCGCUCUGGGCUUAAUCGUCUGGACGUGGAGUCUGCGUGGUUACUUUGAAAAAAUUAGAGUGUUCAAAGCGGGCUUACGCUUGAAUAUUUCAGCAUGGAAUAACACUAUAGGACUCCUGUCCUAUUUCGUUGGUCUCGGGACGGGAGUAAUGAUUAAGAGGAACAGUUGGGGGCAUUCGUAUUUCAAUGUCAGAGGUGAAAUUCUUGGAUUUUUGAAAGACGAACUUCUGCGAAAGCAUUUGCCAAGGAUGUUUUCAUUAAUCAAGAACGAAAGUUGGGGGCUCGAAGAUGAUUAGAUACCAUCCUAGUCUCAACCAUAAACGAUGCCGACUAGGGAUUGGCGAAUGUUAAUUGAUGACUCCGCCAGCACCUUAUGAGAAAUCAAAGUUUUUGGGUUCCGGGGGGAGUAUGGUCGCAAGGCUGAAACUUAAAGGAAUUGACGGAAGGGCACCACCAGGCGUGGAGCCUGCGGCUUAAUUUGACUCAAC
rnacentral:rRNA from 1 species